CUUAUAGACCUAUGCAAUAGGCUUCUAAGACAACACUUCAGGGUGGGAACACAGCAGAGUAGCUUAGAUUUUUAUGUGCCGUAGGUAUCUGUAAGGGG
rnacentral:SRP_RNA from 2 species